UCCGGAGGAGGCAAUCGUUAUUCGGAAUUAUUGGGCGUAAAGCGUCCGUAGGUGGUGAUUCAAGACAGCGGUUAAAGCGUGGGGCUUAACCUCAUACAGGCCGUUGAAACUGGAUUGCUAGAGUGCGGUAGGGGUCGAGGGAAUUCCCAGUGUAGCGGUGAAAUGCGUAGAUAUUGGGAAGAACACCGGUGGCGAAAGCGCUCGGCUGGGCCUGCACUGACACUGAGGGACGAAAGCUAGGGGAGAGAAAGGG
rnacentral:rRNA from 1 species